rnacentral:rRNA from 1 species
UACGGAGGGAGCUAGCGUUGUUCGGAAUUACUGGGCGUAAAGCGCACGUAGGCGGCUUUGUAAGUUAGAGGUGAAAGCCCGGGGCUCAACUCCGGAACUGCCUUUAAGACUGCAUCGCUUGAAUCCAGGAGAGGUGAGUGGAAUUCCGAGUGUAGAGGUGAAAUUCGUAGAUAUUCGGAAGAACGCCAGUGGCGAAGGCGGCUCACUGGACUGGUAUUGACGCUGAGGUGCGAAAGCGUGGGGAGCAAACAGG